UUAUCAAUCAUCCAUAAUUUAUAAAACAGGUUACGAUUUGGUAGAUUUUACACCUACCCAUUUUUUGGAAAUGAAAGAUAUAAACAAUAGAAAUAUUAAAUCAAUAGAAAUAUUAAAUCUUUACUUUAUCUUUAUCCAAAAAAAUUUUUGGUGNAAAAAAUUAUUUAUAAUCCNUAUUUUUCAAAAUAAAAAAAAAANCUGAAAAAANUGGAGAAUUUCUACUACUUAGUUUAGAAAAAAAAANUCGUCUUUUUUCUAUAUUAAUUUUUAAAAAUUAACGAGAAUCAAGUGUAUUAAUCCUCUAGGUAUACUUACGCAAUAUACCUUUAUUUAUAUUAUAUUUUNAUAAACCUCCAGGUAUACUUACCCNAAUAGAGAUAUUUUAGAGACUACUAUACUCUAGUAGUAUAUUUUUUUCCUUACCCAAUAUAUUAGUCUAAAAAACUAAUAUAUUGGGUAUAUUGGGUAUUUAUCAAAUUAAUAUUCAAAUUUUUAAUAUAAUGAACAAUUCAAAAGAUCUAG
rnacentral:misc_RNA from 1 species